UACGUAGGGUGCGAGCGUUAAUCGGAAUUACUGGGCGUAAAGGGUGCGCAGGCGGUUAUAUAAGACAGAUGUGAAAUCCCCGGGCUCAACCUGGGAACUGCAUUUGUGACUGCAUGGCUAGAGUACGGUAGAGGGGGAUGGAAUUCCGCGUGUAGCAGUGAAAUGCGUAGAUAUGCGGAGGAACACCGAUGGCGAAGGCAAUCCCCUGGACCUGUACUGACGCUCAUGCACGAAAGCGUGGGGAGCAAACAGG
rnacentral:rRNA from 1 species